UACGUAGGGUCCGAGCGUUAAUCGGAAUUAUUGGGCGUAAAGCGUGCGCAGGCGGUUUUGUAAGCCAGAUGUGAAAUCCCCGGGCUUAACCUGGGAAUGGCAUUUGGGACUGCAAGGCUGGAGUGUGGCAGAGGAGACUGGAAUUCCUGGUGUAGCAGUGAAAUGCGUAGAUAUCAGGAGGAAUACCGAUGGCGAAGGCAGGUCUCUGGGCUGACACUGACGCUCAUGCACGAAAGCGUGGGGAGCAAACAGG
rnacentral:rRNA from 1 species